AUGACAGUUCAAGCUGUGUCCAUUCAUUCAUUCCCAACUAUGGAUGUGUCUGCGGUAACUCCUUCCUUCCUUCCCUACUUCCUUUCUCUUCUUCCUUCCUUCCCUUCUCCAUUCUUCCUUCCCUCCAUUCUUCCUUUCCUUCCCAUCCUUUCCGCCUUCUUUUUCUUCCUUUUCCCUUUAGUUCCUUCCCUCUCCUCCUUCUUUUUCUACUACCUUCCCCUUCCUUUUCUUCCCUUCCCUACAGGCUUGUUUCCCUUCCUUUCCUCUUUCCUCCUUCCAUUCUUCCUUCUCUCCCUUCAUCCUUUCUUCCUUCCUUCCCUUCCCUACAUCUUUCCCUACAUCCUUCCUUCCUUCCCUCAUCCGAUCCUUCCCUUCCUUUCUCCCUCCUUUGUUUCUUUCUUCAUUUCUUUCCUUCCCUUUCCCCUCUCCCUCUUUCCCUUCUUUCCUUCCCUUCUUCCUUCUUCCCAUUCUUCCUUUCUUCCCUCCCGCCUUCCUUUCUCCCUUCCCGUCUUCCUCCUUUCUUUCCCUUCCCUCAUUCCUUCCUUCCUCUCCCUCUCCUUAAUUCCUUCCCUUUCCUCCUUUUCCCCCUUUCCUUCUUUUUCCUCCUUCCAUUUUUCCUUCCUUCCCUCCCUUUCCUUUCUUUCUUCCUUUUCUUCCUUCCUUCCUUCCUUUUCUCUCUUUAGUUCUUUCCCUCCUUCCUUCCCCUUUUUCUUCCUUCCUUUUCUCUCCCUCUCCCAUCUCCCUCUUUCCCUUCCUUCCUCUUUUCCUUCCUUCUUUUUCUCUACAUCCUUCCUUUUCCUCUUUCUCUUCCCUUCUUUCUUCCUUUCCUCCUUCCUUCCCUUUCCCCGUUCCCUCCUUCCUUUCGUCCUUCCUUUCCUCACUUCCUUUUCUCUCUUUAGUUCUUUCCCUCUUUCCUUCCUCUUUUCCUUCCUUUUCUUCUCUACAUCCUUCCUUUCCCUCCACCAUCUCCCUCUUUCCCUCCUUCCUUCCCUUCUUUCUUCCUUUCCUCCUUCCCUCUUUCCCCCUUCCCUUCUUCCUUCCUUUCCUCGCUUCCUUUUCUUUCCCUCUUUCCUUCCUCUUUUCCUUCAUUCCUUUCUUCUAUAA
rnacentral:lncRNA from 1 species